UAACCAUUGCUUUGUGUCUGCAUUUAGUUUUGUUCCCUUGUUUGUGAACCUUUGUUCUGUUUCAUGUUUUCUGUAGUUAUGCAAGUUACUUGAAGCUGAAUUUCACAAAAUGAGAUCACUUACUGCUUUAGGUUGGCUGCUUUAGGCCCCAGGUGGCAAUGGAAGAAGAAAGCUUACAAUUGUCCCUCCAGACUCAGAGGGCUAUACAGGCAGACUUAUCAAGAUGGCAACGACCACUGGAAGAACAGCACUCUACAUGGUCCCUCUUCAAGAUGAGUUAUGUCUUGAUCCACUGCCAUUCUCAGCAGAGGAGUUUGCUAAGAUGCCAAAGGUGGAGUGUUGGACAUGUAAAACAACAAUGCCACUUCAUACUUGCAUGUCAAGUCCUUUGGUGGCACACAGUCAGCUGAUGAUGAAGAGAUUACUGAUGAUGAUGUGAAAAUAGUUGCUGAGACGGCCAGUACUGUGACCCUUGCCGCCCCAACCCCUACUUCUAGGCCUACACCUACUACCCCAACACGAACGUCUACUCCUACCCCCACCACAAGUGAUGAGGAUGUGGGACAGUGUCCCAUUUGUAUGGACAUAUUUACACAGAGAUAGUUGCCUGUGCAUGCAAGUAUAUGUGGAGAAAGGUAAGAUGUCAUGAUUUGCAAAAGCAAAUCAUUGUCAACAAUUUUGUAUUUUAUGAGGUUUUUGAGUUAAAUCAAGCUUUAUUGUAAUGAGAACUUUAUAUCCUCAGUGUAAUACAGACAUUAACUUAUGCGAUCAGUCCUCCAUGUGGCACAUCAAAACCAAAGCCCAGAAAUAAAGUGGGUUGAUGACAGCAAGGAUUUCAAGAUCUGCGUGUCUUGCACAGACUUCUUUCAAAGAGCUAUAUACAGUGGCAGCGCCAAAAGAGAGGAAACCCUGUCAACACUUUGCGUGUAACAUUUUGGGGGGAAGCAGGUGUUGAUACAGGUGCCAUUCGAAAGGAAUUUCUUACAGGUGGAAGAUGACGCUGAUCUCUCAGCAUGGACUGAUGCUAUAAUUAAUUGUGGUUUCACUGGGGCCAUUACACCAGAGAACAAAGAGGCCAUCAUACAAUCUGUUGUGCUGCAUGCAACCCUGCGUCUGAUCGCAAUGUUGAAGCAAGUCUGAAAAGGUCUCAAAGUGUACAAUUUUGUGGACAUCUUGGAAGAGCAUUCAGGACUGUGCCAACAUUUCUUUGUCCCAUGUGCAGUGGACGAUGAUAAGGCUGAUGCAGAUUUUAUCAUGUAGAGCAUUCUUCCCGAGCUAUCGGAGAAGGGAACAGUACGAGAGACCCCUGAAACGGCCAUCAUCAACUUCCUACAAGAUUUUCUUCAGGAAAUUGAAAGCGCUGAGGAUAACCCUGAUGGAGACACCCUGCCCCUAACUGUCCCCCGUAUAAUGCAGUGGCUUACCGGCCAGGGACACAAGCCUCUUCUUAUGUCAGAACUUAAGGAAUUCAAAAUCUCUUUGAAUUUUGACCACGAGUGCAAGCAGAGGAUGCCAGAGCACAAGAUUUGCUUCCCAGUUGUAAGUGACUGUGCCAGAAAAAUAACAUUUCCUACAGCACACAUUGACAACUAUAAUUCAUUCAAAACAGUCACGUUGCAAGCCAUCCAUUUUGACACUGAAUUCAACAGAGUUUAAAAUAUUAUAUGCUACUAAAUUUUAGAAUUGUAUCCUACUGACAGUGUACAUAUUCAAGGCAUAGAACCCUGCAUUGUUAAAUGUUCUUGUUAUUGUUCUCACUUUAUAGCAGAAAAAAACAAUGUAAA